rnacentral:rRNA from 1 species
GACGAACGCUGGCGGCGUGCUUAACACAUGCAAGUCGAACGGAAAGGCCCUGCUUUUGUGGGGUGCUCGAGUGGCGAACGGGUGAGUAACACGUGAGUGACCUGCCCUUUACUUUGGGAUAACUUCAGGAAACUGGGGCUAAUACCGGAUAUGAGCUCCUGCUGCAUGGUUGGUGUGUGAAAGUGUCGGCGGUUGGGGAUGGACUCGCGGCUUAUCAGCUUGUUGGUGGGGUGGUGGCUUACCAAGGCUUUGACGGGUAGCCGGCCUGAGAGGGUGACCGGCCACAUUGGGACUGAGAUACGGCCCAGACUCCUACGGGAGGCAGCAGUGGGGAAUAUUGCACAAUAGGCGGAAGCCUGAUGCAGCAACGCCGCGUGCGGGAUGACGGCCUUCGGGUUGUAAACCGCUUUCGCCUGUGACGAAGCGUGAGUGACGGUAAUGGGUAAAGAAGCACCGGCUAACUACGUG